GACGAACGCUGGCGGCGUGCCUAAUACAUGCAAGUAGGACGCAGUUGCGAACGGGUGAGUAACGCGUAUGUAACUACCUAUUAGAGGGGGAUAACUAUUGGAAACGAUAGCUAAUACCGCAUACUAGUAGAUGGACCUGCGUUGUAUUAGCUAGUAGGUAGGGUAGUGGACUACCUAGGCAACGAUACAUAGCCGACCUGAGAGGGUGAUCGGCCACACUGGGACUGAGACACGGCACAGAAUACUACGGGAGGAGGCAGUAGGGAGUCUACGGCAAUGGGGAGAACCCAGACCGAGCAACGCAGAGUGAGUGAGGAGGGUUUUCGGAUCGUAAAGCUCUGUUGUUAAGGAAGCGGUACUUAACCGGAAAGGGACGGCUAACUACGUGACAGCAGCCGCGGUAAUAC
rnacentral:rRNA from 1 species